AGUGAACGCUGGCGGUAGGCCUAACACAUGCAAGUCGAACGGCAGCACAGGAGAGCUUGCUCUCUGGGUGGCGAGUGGCGGACGGGUGAGGAAUACAUCGGAAUCUACUCUGUCGUGGGGGAUAACGUAGGGAAACUUACGCUAAUACCGCAUACGACCUACGGGUGAAAGCAGGGGACCUUCGGGCCUUGCGCGAUUGAAUGAGCCGAUGUCGGACUAGCUAGUUGGCGGGGUAAAGGCCCACCAAGGCGACGAUCCGUAGCUGGUCUGAGAGGAUGAGCAGCCACACUGGAACUGAGACACGGUCCAGACUCCUACGGGAGGCAGCAGUGGGGAAUAUUGGACAAUGGGCGCAAGCCUGAUCCAGCCAUACCGCGUGGGUGAAGAAGGCCUUCGGGUUGUAAAGCCCUUUUGUUGGGAAAGAAAUCCAGCCAGCUAAUACCUGGUUGGGAUGACGGUACCCAAAGAAUAAGCACCGGCUAACUUCGUGCCAGCCGCCGCAGUAA
rnacentral:rRNA from 1 species